rnacentral:rRNA from 1 species
GCAGGUGGCCAAACCUCCUUUUUGAAGCUAGAUUUCAUAAGCUAAGCAGGGCUCGGCCUAUUUAGUACUUGGAUGGGAGGCCGCUGGGAAUACCAGGUGCCACAGCG